rnacentral:rRNA from 1 species
AAAACUCAAAUGAAUUGACGGGGGCCCGCACAAGCGGUGGAGCAUGUGGUUUAAUUCGAUGCAACGCGAAGAACCUUACCUGGUCUUGACAUCCACAGAACUUUCCAGAGAUGGAUUGGUGCCUUCGGGAACUGUGAGACAGGUGCUGCAUGGCUGUCGUCAGCUCGUGUUGUGAAAUGUUGGGUUAAGUCCCGCAACGAGCGCAACCCUUAUCCUUUGUUGCCAGCGGUCCGGCCGGGAACUCAAAGGAGACUGCCAGUGAUAAACUGGAGGAAGGUGGGGAUGACGUCAAGUCAUCAUGGCCCUUACGACCAGGGCUACACACGUGCUACAAUGGCGCAUACAAAGAGAAGCGACCUCGCGAGAGCAAGCGGACCUCAUAAAGUGCGUCGUAGUCCGGAUUGGAGUCUGCAACUCGACUCCAUGAAGUCGGAAUCGCUAGUAAUCGUGGAUCAGAAUGCCACGGUGAAUACGUUCCCGGGCCUUGUACACACCGCCCGUCACACCAUGGGAGUGGGUUGCAAAAGAAGUAGGUAGCUUAACCUUCGGGAGGGCGCUUACCACUUUGUGAUUCAUGACUGGGGUGAAGUCGUAACAAGGUAACCGUAGGGGAACCUGCGGUUGGAUCACCUCCUU